rnacentral:rRNA from 1 species
CCCUUAGAUGUUCUGGGCGGCCCGCGCACUACAAUGGCGUGUGCAGCGAGUGCCGAAGUAGAGUUUUCCGAGGUAUUCUUGCAAUGCUCGUUUUGAUGGGGAUAGACCCUUGCAACUGUUGGUUUUGAACGAGGAAUUCCUUGUAAGCAUGGUUUAUCAUCCGACGCUGAACGCGUCCCUGCCCUUUGUACACACCGCCCGUCGCUCCUACCGAUGAGUCGUCCGGCGAAGUUCGUAGACCUCGUGAUCGCGGAUCACUGGGGGAAGCAAAAUGAACCUCGCGGUUUAGAGGAAGGAGAAGUCGUAACA